GAUGAACGCUGGCGGCGUGCCUAAUACAUGCAAGUCGAACGAACUUCCGUUAAUUGAUCAGGACGUGCUUGCACUGAAUGAGAUUUUAACACGAAGUGAGUGGCGGACGGGUGAGUAACACGUGGGUAACCUGCCCAGAAGCAGGGGAUAACACCUGGAAACAGAUGCUAAUACCGUAUAACAGAGAAAACCGCCUGGUUUUCUUUUAAAAGAUGGCUCUGCUAUCACUUCUGGAUGGACCCGCGGCGCAUUAGCUAGUUGGUGAGGUAACGGCUCACCAAGGCGAUGAUGCGUAGCCGACCUGAGAGGGUAAUCGGCCACAUUGGGACUGAGACACGGCCCAGACUCCUACGGGAGGCAGCAGUAGGGAAUCUUCCACAAUGGACGCAAGUCUGAUGGAGCAACGCCGCGUGAGUGAAGAAGGGUUUCGGCUCGUAAAGCUCUGUUGUUAAAGAAGAACGUGGGUGAGAGUAACUGUUCACCCAGUGACGGUAUUUAAC
rnacentral:rRNA from 1 species